GAGAGAUCUCUCUCUCUCUCCAAGUGCAUGUGCCAAGCAAAGGCCCUGUGAGGACACAGUGAGAAGUUGGAUCUGAAAGCCAGGAAGAGAGUCCUCACCAGAACCCAACCAUGCUGACGCCCUAAUCUCAGACUUCCAGAUACAAGAACUGAGAAGAAAAUCAAAUUCAGAGAGGUAGAGGAACAUCAAUUAUGGAAAGCUGUAAAUGCCAGAGUGAAUAAAUAAGUGGAUGAAUAGGUUUGCUGUAAUCGCAAGUCACUUAAAAUUACAUGAAACAAUGAAAACAGUGAAUUUGAGCACCUUCUAGAAGAAAAGACUUGAGAAAGAGAGGCCAC